UUGCAGGAAGAUGAUCAACGGCAGUCCUGAAGAAGAAUCCUCUGAAGUACAUGAGGAUAAUGUUCAAACUGAACCCAUAUGCCAAGACUGCCAGACGUCACGCAAUUCUCAAGCAUGAUCCCAAGAUAAAGGCUAAGAUGCUGAAACCCAAGAAGAAGCCUGGAAAGAAGGGAGCACCCAAGAAAAUCAAGGCUUAAAUUUUUACCUGUCUGGAGUUCACUGAACAAUAAAUAAGUUUGGAUCAAAUCAAGAGUUCGACCUGUCCUUAACAUUUUUAUUCCAGAAUGUGCUUUUCACAUACUGUAGAAAGCAUUGUAUUCUGUGGUUAAGGAACUCAAGGUGGAAAUGCACUAGCACUGCAGCAUUCCCAAAUUCACUUAAUUAUACAAUUUGUUUAAAACUGUACUUUUCCUGCCACGUCCAUAAAACGUUAUAACACAUGGUUUACAGCGCUGAUGUAUAAUCAGUGAAACAAUCUAUUCUGAUCUCGGAAGGAAACAGUUGAGAUGAAGGUAAGAACAGGUAAUGGCACUUAAAAUUUUUGAACAGUUUUUAUAUCCUCAUGUAAAUUUCUUCUGGAAUCUGCAGAAAGAACUGAACUUUCUGAGAAUGCCUCCCGGUGGUCAUGUUGGAUUCUCCUACAGAUGGUCUGGGUGCUUCCUGCAAGCGGCUGAGCUGUACAGCACCUGGUGUAAUCUGGCUGCCUCAAGGCUGACUACCAACCAAUGCACAUAAUGAUCAACACAGACCUGAGUAGAAUACUGAAGAGCGAGAUCCAUAUAGGACUUUCUGCACCCAGGGCCUGAGAUGAUAAACCUAAGCAUGAUUCUCAAUGGCAAGGUGCUCCGGGAAACACCACUUUGUACAACAAACAGGGUGAGAUAUUCCUUGGCCAGUCACAACCUGCCUCGCAAAACCAAGGAUGUGCGAAACUAUCAUACCAACACCAUGUCGUCAUCCUCAGCAGCACCAGUAAAGCUAAGGCAACUUUUAGCACACAGUGAUUAUCAACCUAAGGUAUGUUUUUCCACUUUAAAAAAGGAGUGUAUACAGUCCCUGGCCACUUUAUUAGGUACACCUGUAUGUACUGUAUUACAGUAGAGUAUUAUCAAUAUAUUCUUUUAUUGGCAUCCAUCCAUUUUGUAUAGUGCCUGUUCUCAUUCAGGUCAUGGGUGAGCUGGAGCCUAUCCAAGCUUAAAGCUGGAAUUUGCAGUUUCAAACAAAACAAAAACUUUUUUGAC